UCCCUGGUGUCUGAGACAGUAAAGAAUCUGCCUGCAAUGCUGGAGACCUAGGUUCGAUCCCUGGAUUGGGAA
rfam:TPA: Bos taurus chromosome X, whole genome shotgun sequence.